ACCAUUGAUGAGAUUCACCAAGAGAUUUGCCAAGGCUCCUUCGACAGUUUCUUAUAAACCAAGAUCUCUACCACCUAGAAGGAAAAGGGAAAACUAGCACUGAAACCCUUCAGUCCAAGUUUCACAAUGUCAAAUGCAUAUUGGCAAUCCUUCAUCCUUGCUGUGCCAAAAUCCUGGAAUUCACUGCCUAACAACAUUAGGAGAGUAUCUGCAGCAUCUGGACUUUGGUAGUUCAAGAGCUUCUCACAGCUACUUUCUCAUAAGGAAUCUGUGUGGGCAUAAAUGAAUAAAAGCUCGGCUGGUGAAUUCUAAUUUGAUGUUUUUAUUUCCCUCAGAUGUCAGGCUGGCUCAGUGGUAGCACUCUCCUGGUUGGAAGAUUGGGAGUUCAAGCCAAAUUCUAGGCAGCAAAGGAUGCAGUACGUUGCUGAGAAACACGGUGGCUGCAGUGUCUACCAUCUACAAGAUGCACUGUUGUUACUCACUUAAGCUACUCCAACAGCACCUUCCGAACAGAUGAUCUGUACCAGCAAGAAAGACAAGCAUGGGUGCUCCCUGGCUUGCCGAAUGUUUCCAGCGUUUUCUGUUCAUAAUUUCAUGAUGCUUAUACCGUGGCACCCCGGACUUGAUGCUGAGGCCAACUUCAGAACGAGAUGCAACACGUUCGGCACUUACAUUCUGCCGUGCGCAGGCG